rnacentral:lncRNA from 1 species
GCAAAAGUACAAUGUAAAUAAAAAAUUCUUCACCAUCGGAAAGUACCAUAAGUAGAAAUCAAUUUGUUUCUUGUGUCAAUGCUCUUAGGUCUUUUCUGGUCAUAUUUUAAGUAAUAUAAUCAGAUAAGUAUUGAGAAAUGACACUGUAGACUCUCUAUUCUCCUGGUGGACAUGUGCUCAUAGAAUAAAAUUUUCAUGAUCCAAUCCAGGUUAAACUGUAUUGAUUCUUGUAUUGAUACAAUGUCCUUCAUAAGGAACAUGGUAGGUUCUUCAUAAGGAACAUUGUACAAUUUAAUCAGAAAAUACUGGCGCCAGUUAGAUUAUACUCAUAAUUUUGAUUAAAUGUUAGAUGGUGCUCCGAUCGUGUGAUAAGUAUAUUCCCUACCUUUUGUAUUGGUUGUUUGUAUGAUCUGAUGCAAUCUGUAUAUUGUCAUAAGUGUUUUUGUUUUUUGUUUAUUAUUAUUGAUAUAUAGUGUUAUCCAGGAGUAGUUGCUUUUCAUUUAAAACCGGAUGAAAAACUUGAUUAGCAUAAUUUGGAGGGAACACAAUAAAAGAUCAUGCCGAUAAUCAGUUACAAUGCAUGAACGUAUGUUCUGUCAUAGGGGGGUUUUGAUGGGGUCCUUUUCUUUUCUUUCUUUUAUUUUUUGUACUUUUUUCCCUAUUCUUUAUUUUUUCCCCCAUUAUUCUCUAUUCUUUCUUAUUUAUGUCUAGUUCCCUCUACAGUUACUUUUCUUUUUGCUCUUUAUUAAGCACCUUUUGCACAUUAUCUGUUCUAUAAACCCCAUGCAGACCCUCUCAUAUGUGGGUAACACCAUAUGGUAUGUCCCUGACAUUGUUUAUCUGCUUAAUAAUUAUAAAAAUGAUGUUAAUUAAGUUUUUGCUAAAAGAAAAUCACUUAAUUUUUUGCAAAGUUGCUAUAAAGUUGAAAUCGUGAGAAAUGAUGAUCGUUUUGUUAAAAAAAAAAAAAUCUUUUAUUUGGACUAACUGAUUGUUUUUGACGUUUUAUGUUUCCAAAUAAGACAUCAAAUUGGACUGAUAAAAAAAAAAUAAAAAAAAUAAAUGUAAUUUUUUUUUUUUAAAUUGAUGUUAAAUCAAGUUUUUCAUCCUUCAUUGAAUUUUUCGUCAUUCACCAUGAAUUAUGUUAAAGUGCUAUAUAUGUAUAGAACAAACCAGAUGUAUUGCAAUAUAAAUAUAUAUGUAUAAUCCGUCAAAAUCAUUUGAUUUAUAUAGUAAUCCGUCACUAAUUAUAAUGUUUAAUUUGAAUUAAUCUUUUUAUACAUUUAUUAAUACUGCCUUAUUGUAGAAUAAUAAGACUUAAUACAUUUGAAUACUAUAUUUGAAUUAAUAAAUAAUACAUUGUUUGAACCAUUCCACUCGUUAAAAUCUUCACAUCUUAACAUAGGUUUUGCACAGCUGAAUUUUUCUACAUAUUCUUCAAGUUAAGCAUAAUUAUUUCAGUUGUAUACAAUUUGAACAUAUUAAGCUGGAAGUUUGAAAUAUCACAAAUUACUUUGGUUAAUUAUAUAUCUCUAUAAAAUAGACGAUUUCAGGCAUGUUUGAAAACUAGAUUUGAACAAAAUAAAAUCUGCUAUUCAAAAUGGAUGUUUUCUUUUGUAUGGACACUGGUCUGUCUUUGAAGACCAUAAAAUAACCUGUAGAUAUUUUUGUUUUGUUUUAUUGUGUAUUGGGUUGCUUUCAUUUAUGUAAACCCAUUUUUCAGAAUGUACCAUUUAAAUCCAUUUUAAGUGAAUUCAUCUAUCUCUCUUUUAUAAAAAAAAAAAUGGACAAACUAUACAAUUAAAUGUAAGCACCUUUCAUUAUUACAUGAUUGGUUACAUGAUCGAGGUUCUGAUUGGUUUAAAUAUCUUUAAAUACACUAUAAUAACUAUAACCUAAAAUGAGGUUGAUAUUCCCUGAUUGGCUCACAUAUUCCCUGAUUGGCUUACAUCCCUAGAAGAUGAAAAGGUGUAUUAAUCUUGCUUGAGGUUGGUAGUACAUUCCAAAAUGCCAAAAUAAUUAAGAAAAAGCUAUGUUCAAACCCUUGCGAUGACAUUCAGUAAGAAUUUGAAAUUAGUCAUAUAGCAAAAGUAAGAGUUAAGAUUUGGCAAAGAAAUUUAUCUACCCAUAUAUCCCUUGCCUGGUAAUAUGUUUUUCAAUUACUAGUAUGGUAAUAGAAAAAUGCUAAAUAGUUUUCUAAAGGAAUGAGAACAUUUUAAUUUUUGUUUUUCAUUAAUCUGAAAAUCCAUAAGGUAUCUGGUAUCAACAACCAAUCAGAAUAAGUAAUACUCUUAUGUCUUGUUACCAUGUUAUCUUAAUAGAAUGGCUGCACCAUUUUCGUUUUUUUGUAACUUUUAUUUGUACACAACUCAUAUUUAGGUGUUAACCCUAUAGCUCUGAUAGUGCUUUCUAACAUUGAAUUUGCAUAUGAUUUACCUAUAAAUUAAUGAAACUUUUUCUGUACAGUUUAUAAUAAAUGCAUAUUAUAUAUUGCUACUUACCGAUUGAAGAUGUGUUGACUUCCAUUUAUUUUGUUUGAGUAUGAAGGUCCACCUACAAGUUAUUGUCGGAGCAUUUUUUUUUUCAGAUAACAAACUGGCAUUUCAGUAUAUUUAUUAUGUAAAGUUUUGUUACUUACUGUUGGUAUAGUCUAUUUCAUGAAUCUGUUACCCAAUAUAAUUAUAGUCUAUUACAUAUACCUAUUAAAAUGUAUGAAUUAUUGUAUUUUUUUUAAUAUUGGCCUGCCUACGAUAGUUGUGU